rnacentral:rRNA from 1 species
UACGUAGGGCGCGAGCGUUUGUCCGGAUUUAUUGGGCGUAAAGAGCUCGUAGGCGGCUUGUCGCGUCGACUGUGAAAACCCGCGGCUCGACCGUGUGGUCUGCAGUCGAUACGGGCAGGCUAGAGUUCGGUAGGGGAGACUGGAAUUCCUGGUGUAGCGGUGAAAUGCGCAGAUAUCAGGAGGAACACCGGUGGCGAAGGCGGGUCUCUGGGCCGAUACUGACGCUGAGGAGCGAAAGCAUGGGUAGCGAACAGG